CACUUUUGCCACAGACUGGACAGAAGGAGAUCAUGCUGUAACACAGAAAGGGAGGGGACAGGAAUCAGAACGACACCAUCAGCAGAACAUGAGCUGAAGUGACAAGGUUGAAGCUUGGACAGUGACUCUGGAACCACCAUCAAAACUGAAUAUGGGCAGCUGUCCAAAGGUGGCACCAGGGAGACUCGGGGCGGUUUCCACGGUGGCACUGGAUAGCCUAGACUGGAUAACAACAGAGCCCACUUGACUUCGUAUAUAAAAAGUGGUUUGGAAACCC